UACGAAGGUCCCAAGCGUUGUUCGGAUUUACUGGGCGUAAAGCGUCUGUAGGCGGCGCGGUAAGUCAGAUGUGAAAUCCCGGGGCUCAACCCCGGAACUGCAUCCGAUACUGCCGUGCUUGAGGGUCGGAGGGGAGUCUGGAAUUCUCGGUGUAGCAGUGAAAUGCGUAGAUAUCGAGAGGAACACUAGUGGCGAAGGCGAGACUCUGGACGACACCUGACGCUGAGAGACGAAGGCCAGGGGAGCGAAAAGG
rnacentral:rRNA from 1 species